rnacentral:rRNA from 1 species
UACGUAGGGUGCGAGCGUUAAUCGGAAUUACUGGGCGUAAAGCGUGCGCAGGCGGUUUUGUAAGCCGGAUGUGAAAUCCCCGGGCUUAACCUGGGAAUGGCAUUCGGGACUGCAAGGCUGGAGUGCGGCAGAGGAGACUGGAAUUCCUGGUGUAGCAGUGAAAUGCGUAGAUAUCAGGAGGAACACCGAUGGCGAAGGCAGGUCUCUGGGCUGACACUGACGCUCAUGCACGAAAGCGUGGGGAGCAAACAGGAUUAGAGUACCCUG